UGACGGUCUUUUUCCAGUUCUCCUGGUUC
rnacentral:piRNA from 1 species